GUCUAAACCAGGUCUAUAACAGGUCUAAACCGGGUCUAAACUGGGUCUAAACCGGGUCUAAACCGGGUCUGAACCGGGUCUAAACCGGGUCUGAACCGGGUCUAAACCGGGUCUGAACCGGGUCUAAACCGGGUCUAAACCGGGUCUAAACCAAGUCUAAACCGGGUCUAAACCGGGUCUAAACCGGGUCUAAACCGGGUCUAAACCGGGUCUAAACCGGGUCUAAACCGGGUCUAAACCAGGACUAAACCAGGUCUAAACCAGGACUAAACCAGGACUAAACCAGGACUAAACCAGGACUAAACCAGGACUAAACCAGGAGUAAACCAGGACUAAACCAGGACUGAACCAGGACUGAACCAGGACUAAACCAGGACCACAUGCUGUGCAGCUCUACAUGUGUAUUUAAUGCCACACUGACGGAUCUUUCCUCGCCUGUUCAUCAGAUCUAAAUGUGGUC
ensembl:lncRNA